rnacentral:lncRNA from 1 species
UGUAUAGUUCCAGGAGCCUACAGGCGGUCGGUUUUUCAGCGCUUGCCACCGGGCCAGGCAAGGUCUUUGCAUGAUUGCUGAGGCAGUCGGUGUGUUUCCCUUUGGAGUUUAUAUAGGAACACACCACCCAAGGCUGAUGUUUUGUUAUAUAUAUAUAUAUGUACACACAUACAAAGGCCUGCUACUCUUUCUUUGUGGAAACUGACAGCUCCACCUCGGGAAGCUGGAUGCCAACCUUAUUCCCACUGUCAUUGCUAGAAGAGGAGGACAGUCGGGACUUCUUAGAGGCCAGGGACACCCCACUCCCCUGUAACUUGCCUGUCUCAUCAUCGCUCCCAGUCACCUCAUAAUGACCUUUGCUCUUUGACCCCAAUCCACCAAAGGUACCGAAUUUCAGCUUCCCGUGUUUCCCUUUAACUUUCCCACCUUCCAGAGACACUUCCCCACCUUCAAACUCCAGCGUCCCCGUCGGGGUGGAAGGUCCAGAGAACUCUCUUUCAUCACUGAAUGAAUUUGAGCGGUGCCGUGGCUUCUUACUUUUAAAUAAGGAGAAUUUGCCUUUCGGUGAAGAGGCUUCGGCCUCUGCCUCUCCUUCCAGAGAGCCCAGGCUGGCCUUUGAACUUUUCAGGUCACCUUUGGACCCAGAAAUUGAUGCUUCUGGUGAGCCAGUGACACCACCUUUCCCUUUAGGUUUGGAAAAAUUAAACUUGGGCAUUUUGAUCUUGGACUUUUUCAGUUUGACUUCAGACUCUUCCCACUCGCCGUCUCCAGCACCAGCUUGGAUGCUGGCCUCUGCUUUAGGGAAGUGAACAUCCACCCCCAUUUCUCUGCCAACCAGCUCACGGCCAGAGAAGGUAAAUUUGGGGAUCUUCAUUUUAGGGAAUGUUACUUUUCCAGAUCCACUUUCCAAGUGACCUUGAGGCCCAGACACACUCAGCCCAGGAGCCUGGAGUCCAAUCUGACCUCCUUUCACACCUCCUUCCACCUUUGGUCCUGAGAAAUGAAGGCCCCCAGCAAACUUAGAUGUGUCCAAGUUGAGAGCAGAGGAGACUUGGGGUCCCUUCCACUCACCCCCGGAACCUUUAACACUCAAAUGCCCUUCACCAAGGCUGAUGUCUGGGGCACUGACACCCCCUGAAACAUCCGCACCUCCUUUGAUUUUUGGGCCCUUCAAGUUGAUGCCAAAAUCUGACUCAGGAGAUGCCAUAUUAAAGGCAGGCCCCUUCACACUGAUAUCAGGAGCAGCCCCAUGGAAACCUACUUCUGAACCUUUCAGACCACCUUUGAUUUCAGGCCCAGAAAUCUGCCCAGUUGGGAGUUUCACAUUCACGCCUGGCAGGUUCACAUCACAUCCAGAGGACUUAAUUCCAGGCAUCUGGAGGUUUCCUUCUAGGCCUUGAACACCAAUGCCUGGAAGACCUCCUCCGACAGUGGGGCCUUUGAUCUCACCAGUGGCCCCAAGGCUCCCUUUCACUUUUGGUCCUUCCAAGUUAAAGUCCACAUUCGGUGCUGAAAUCCGAGGCCCUUUCAGGUUCACAUCCACACCUGGCCCCUUCAGUUCGCCAGAAACCUGUGGCCCCUUGGCAUUGACGUGCAAGUCGGACCCCGGAGUAGAGAUGCCAAAUUGGGGCAGCUUCAUUUUGGGAAGUUUAAUGCUGCCUUCGGAUGCCUCCAAGCUUAGAUCAGGAGCUCCUACGGAUACUUUAGGGCAUUUGAUGUCACCAGAGACAGCCAGAUCUCCCUGCAGGCUUGGUCCCCUCAGUGUCACAUCUGGUGCCCCAACGUUAAGCUUUGUUGUGGCAUCGAUCCCUGGCACUUUCACACCGUCUCCUCCCACCUGCAUUUUGCCACCGACACCACUGAGGUUGAGCCCUGGAGCAUGCACCUUCAUGCUGGGAACAGAUGCAUCCAGGUCUCCCUUCAAACUUGGUCCUUUCAAGUUCAGAUCAAGGUCAGGCCCAGAGACUUUUGGCAUAGAGAGGUUCACUGAAGGCAAGUCUACUCCUGGCCCCUUUAGAGAAACAUCGGGCCCUUCGAGCUUAACAUCUGGUCCUCUCAAGUCUCCUUCAAGAGAGGGUAGCUGGGCAUGGACCUCGGCUCCCCCACCCUCCAUUUUCACACCUGGGAUGCCGAUCUUGGGCAUGGAAAACUUGGGGAACUUAAUUUUUGCUUCUGGACCUUGCAGAUCUACAUCUGGUCCUUCCAGUCCCACGCUGGGGACAUCACCCUUUAUCUUUGGUCCUUUCAAGUUUACAUUCACAUCAGGGAUGGAGACUUGAGGGGCAGAAAUGCCGAAGGACGGUGUUUUGACUUUAGCAUCUAGGCCUUCGAUGUUGAUGUCAGGUGCACCCAAGUUUGCCUGCACUUUGGGGCCUUUCAGGUCACCCUCUAUUUUUGGCACUGAGAUGUCCACAUCUGGCAUCUUGACCUUGGGAGCCUUCGCCUUGAUGUCAAGACCUUCGACGUGAAUCGCUGGCAAAGAAAGUUCCAGAUCAGGUGCCUGGAGUUCACCCUCCAGUUUGGGGCUAGGGAGAGGGGCCUCAGCUUUAAAUUUAGGUGAUUUAAUGUCAAACUCUACAUCUGGGAAGUACAUUUUUCCAAACAUCGUUUUCUUGGUUUUGGGCGAUUUCACGUCGACUUUGAGUGCAGCAUCCGGCCCUGCGAUGUUGACAUCUACAUCCGGAGCCUUGAGGCUGGCAUCAAUUUCACCCCCAGGAACAUUCAGGUCAAAUCCCUGUUUUUUGGCCUUAAUCUUAGGACCACUCAUAUGAAUUUUAGGCAUUUUAAACUUACUUUUCUUGCCCUUGCCACCAACACUAAUUUCAGGAGUCUCAAGGUUCAGCUCUGCCUCAGGAACAGUGACAUCCAGUGAAGGUGACUUGAUGUCAGCUUUGGGGCUUUUUGCCCCAAAUCCAAACUUGGGUUUCUUAAAUUUGGGGAUUUUAACAUCUGGCCCUUCGAUGUUAAUAUCUGGGCUGUCCAUGUGUACAUCUAAGCUUGGAGCUUCAACUUUGGGUCCCUUGAGGUCCACUUCACCACCUUCUAACUUCGGACCUGAAAAUCCAAUUUUUGGUGCCUUGAGAUGCAAAUCAACAUCAGGAGCAGUUACUUUAGGAGCAGAUAUCUCCAGCGAUGGCAUCUUCAAAGAUGGGCCACUGAGUUUGGCAUCAGGGCCUUCGAAAUCCAGACGUGGACCUUUAAGAUCUACUUCUGGGCCUUUCAAAGUCCCUUCAACCUUAGGGACAGACACAUCAAAAUCUCCUUUUACUUUGGGUCCUUUCAAAUCCAGGUCAACAUCAGGUAUGGAGAUCUUGGGAGCUUUGAUAUUUAUUUCAGGCAUCUUGAACUUGGGGCCCUUCAGUUUUGCGUCUGGACCUUCGAUAUUCACAUCUGGAAUAUCAACGUCCACCUUGGGUCCCGAGACAUCGAUGUCGGCCUUGGGCAGGCUCACAUCCACAUCUGGACCUUCUCCUUUGAAGCCAGGCAUGCUGAAUUUGGGCAUUUUCACCUUGGGCAUCUUCAGGUGCCAGUCUGGGCCAUGAACAUCCACAUCAGGGGUGUUGAUGUCCACUUUUGGGCCCUUGAUGUCAGCUUCUGGGCCCUUGAGGUCACCUUCCACUUUAGGAAGGGUAACAUCCACAUCGCCCUUCACUUUGGGUCCUUUCAGGUUUAAGUCAAUAUCAGGCAUGGAGAUCUUGGGGGCUUUGAUGCUCAUCUCAGGCAUCUUGAACUUGGGGCCCUUUAGUUUCGCAUCUGGACCUUCGAUAUUCACAUCAGGAACAUCAACGUCCACUUUGGGUCCUGAGACAUCAAUGUCAGCCUUGGGCAGGUUCACAUCCACAUCAGGGCCUUCAACGUCCACUUUGGGGCCUGAGACAUCAACGUCAGCCUUGGGCAGGUUCACAUCCACUUCAGGGCCCUCUGCUUUGAAGCCAGGCAUGCUGAACUUGGGCAUUUUCAUCUUGGGCAUCUUCAGGUGCCAGUCUGGACCCUGAACAUUAACAUCUGGGACAUCAAUGUCCACUUUGGGGCCUUUGAGGUCAACUUCAGGACCUUUCAGAUCUCCCUCUACCUUAGGGCCUGUAACAUCCACAUCUCCUUUUAUUUUUGGACC